GAUGAACGCUGGCGGCGUGCCUAACACAUGCAAGUCGAGCGAACAGACGCGGAUCUUGCUCCUCGCACGUUUGCGGCGCACGUGUGAGUAACAUGUGUAUACCCUACUUAUAAGACUGGUAUAACUUCGGGAAACCGGCGCAUAUCCCGGAUAAUAUCUUGAACCGCAUGGUGCAAUAGUGAAAUACGGUGUUUCUGUCACUUAUAGAGGGAUCUCGGCCGCAUUAGAUAGUUGGUAGGGUAACGGCUUAUUAAGGCAACCAUGCGUAGACGACCGCAGAGGCUGGUAGCCGACCCGGGAGGGUAGCCACGGUCCAUGCUCCUACGAGAGGCAGCAGUAGGGAAUCGGCCGCAAUGGGCGGAAGCCUGGCGGAGCAGCGCCGCGCGAGUGAUGGAGGUCUCCGGAUUGUAAAGCUCUGUUAUUAGGGGAAAACAAAUGUGUACGUAACUAUGGCCGUCUUGACGGUAACUGAUCAGAAAGCACCGGCUAACUACGUG
rnacentral:rRNA from 1 species